UUUUGGGCGCGGCUUAUUUUUGGCACCGCGAGGCCCCUCGCAAAGUCUCGCCGCAUUCCAAGUCCGGCGGACGAACUUCGCCCGCGCCCCCCACCAAGGCUAUAGCCCACCCGUUUUUUGGCCAUUUUUCCGCUGGGGGGUUUUGGCACCCCGACCGUCGGGCGCUUAUUUUUGGGCGCGGCUUAUUUUUGGCACCCCGAGGCCCCUCGCAAAGUCUCGCCGCAUUCCGAGUCCGGCGGACGAACUUCGCCCGCGCCCCCCACCAAGGCUAUAGCCCACCCGUUUUUUGGCCAUUUUUCCGCUGGGGGGUUUUGGCACCCCGACCGUCGGGCGCUUAUUUUUGGGCGCGGCUUAUUUUUGGCACCCCGAGGCCCCUCGCAAAGUCUCGCCGCAUUCCGAGUCCGGCGGACGAACUUCGCCCGCGCCCCCCACCAAGGCUAUAGCCCACCCGUUUUUUGGCCAUUUUUCCGCUGGGGGGUUUUGGCACCACGACCUUCGGGCGCUUAUUUUUGGGCGCGGCUUAUUUUUGGCACCCCGAGGCCCCUCGCAAAGUCUCGCCGCAUUCCGAGUCCGGCGGGCGAACUUCGCCCGCGCCCCCCACCAAGGCUAUAGCCCACCCGUUUUUUGGCCAUUUUUCCGCUGGGGGGUCUUGGCACCACGACCGUCGGGCGCUUAUUUUUGGGCGCGGCUUAUUUUUGGCACCCCGAGGCCCCUCGCAAAGUCUCGCCGCAUUCCGAGUCCGGCGGGCGAACUUCGCCCGCGCCCCCCACCAAGGCUAUAGCCCACCCGUUUUUUGGCCAUUUUUCCGCUGGGGGGUUUUGGCACCACGACCUUCGGGCCCUUAUUUUUGGGCGCGGCUUUGCCCGCGGCUUAUUUUUGGCACCCCGAGGCCCCUCGCAAAGUCUCGCCGCAUUCCGAGUCCGGCGGACGAACUUCGCCCGCGCCCCCCACCAAGGCUAUAGCCCACCCGUUUUUUGGCCAUUUUUCCGCUGGGGGGUUUUGGCACCACGACCAUCGGGCGCUUAUUUUUGGGCGCGGCUUUGCCCGCGGCUUAUUUUUGGCACCCCGAGGCCCCUCGCAAAGUCUCGCCGCAUUCCGAGUCCGGCGGACGAACUUCGCCCGCGCCCCCCACCAAGGCUAUAGCCCACCCGUUUUUUGGCCAUUUUUUCGCUGGGGGGUUUUUGGCACCACGACCUUCGGGCGCUUAUUUUGGGGCGCGGCUUUNNNNNNNNNNNNNNNNNNNNNNNNNNNNNNNNNNNNNNNNNNNNNNNNNNNNNNNNNNNNNNNNNNNNNNNNNNNNNNNNNNNNNNNNNNNNNNNNNNNNNNNNNNNNGUUUUUUGGCCAUUUUUCCGCUGGGGGGUUUUGGCACCACGACCUUCGGGCGCUUAUUUUUGGGCGCGGCUUUGCCCGCGGUUUAUUUUUGCACCGCGAGGCCCCUCGCAAAGUCUCGCCGCAUUCCGAGUCCGGCGGACGAACUUCGCCCGCGCCCCCCACCAAGGCUAUAGCCCACCCGUUUUUUGGCCAUUUUUCCGUUGGGGGGUUUUGGCACCAGGACCUUCGGGCGCUUAUUUUUGGGCGCGGCUUUGCCCACGGCUUAUUUUUGGCACCGCUAGGCCCCUCGCAAAGUCUCGCCGCAUUCCGAGUCCGGCGGACGAACUUCGCCCGCGCCCCCCACCAACGCUAUAGCCCACCCGUUUUUUGGCCAUUUUUCCGCUGGGGGGUUUUGGCACCACGACCUUCGGGCGCGGCUUUGGCCGUGGCUUAUUUUUGGAACCGUGAGGCUCCUCGCAAAGGCUCGCCGCAUUCCGAGUCCGGCGGACGAACUUCGCCCCCGCCCCCCACCAAGGCUAUAGCCCACCCGUUUUUUGGCCAUUUUUCCGCUGGGGGGUUUUGGCACCACGACCUUCGGGCACUUAUUUUUGGGGGCGGCUUUGCCCGCGGCUUAUUUUUGGAACCGCGAGGCCCCUCGCAAAGUCUCGCCGCAUUCCGAGUCCGGCGGACGAACUUCGCCCGCGCCCGCCACCAAGGCUAUAGCCCACCCGUUUUUUGGCCAUUUUUCCGCUGGGGGGUUUUGGCACCACGACCUUCGGGCGCUUAUUUUUGGGCGCGGCUUUGCCCGCGGCUUAUUUUUGGCACCCCGAGGCCCCUCGCAAAGUCUCGCCGCAUUCCGAGUCCGGCGGACGAACUUCGCCCGCGCCCCCCACCAAGGCUAUAGCCCACCCGUUUUUGGCCAUUUUUCCGCUGGGGGGUUUUGGCACCACGACCAUCGGGCGCUUAUUUUUGGGCGCGGCUUUGCCCGCGGCUUAUUUUUGGCACCCCGAGGCCCCUCGCAAAGUCUCGCCGCAUUCCGAGUCCGACGGACGAACUUCGCCCGCGCCCCCCACCAAGGCUAUAGCCCACCCGUUUUUUGGCCAUUUUUCCGCUGGGGGGUUUUGGCACCACGACCUUCGGGCGCUUAUUUUUGGGCGCGGCUUUGCCCGUGGCUUAUUUUUGGCACCGCUAGGCCCCUCGCAAAGUCUCGCCGCAUUCCGAGUCCGGCGGACAAACUUCGCCCGCGCCCCCCACCAACGCUAUAGCCCACCCGUUUUUUGGCCAUUUUUCCGCUGGGGGGUUUUGGCACCACGACCUUCGGGCGCGGCUUUGGCCGUGGCUUAUUUUUGGCACCGUGAGGCUCCUCGCAAAGGUUCGCUGCAUUCCGAGUCCGGCGGACGAACUUCGCCCCCGCCCCCCACCAAGGCUAUAGCCCACCCGUUUUUUGGCCAUUUUUCCGCUGGGGGGUUUUGGCACCACGACCUUCGAGCACUUAUUUUUGGGCGCGGCUUUGCCCGCGGCUUAUUUUUGGAACCGCGAGGCCCCUCGCAAAGUCUCGCCGCAUUCCGAGUCCGGCGGACGAACUUCGCCCGCGCCCCCCACCAAGGCUAUAACCCACCCGUUUUUUGGCCAUUUUUCCGCUGGGGGGUUUUGGCACCACGACCUUCGGGCGCUUAUUUUUGGGCGCGGCUUUGCCCGCGGUUUAUUUUUGCACCGCGAGGCCCCUCGCAAAGUCUCGCCGCAUUCCGAGUCCGGCGGACGAACUUCGCCCGCGCCCCCCACCAAGGCUAUAGCCCACCCGUUUUUUGGCCAUUUUUCCGCUGGGGGGUUUUGGCACCACGACCUUCGGGCGCUUAUUUUUGGGCGCGGCUUUGCCCGUGGCUUAUUUUUGGCACCGCUAGGCCCCUCGCAAAGUCUCGCCGCAUUCCGAGUCCGGCGGACGAACUUCGCCCGCGCCCCCCACCAACGCUAUAGCCCACCCGUUUUUUGCGCAUUUUUCGGCAGCGGGGUUUUGGCACCACGACCUUUGGGCGCGGCUUUGGCCGUGGGUUAUUUUUGGCACCGUGAGGCUCCUCGCAAAGGCUCGCCGCAUUCCGAGUCCGGCGGACGAACUUCGCCCCCGCCCCCCACCAAGGCUAUAGCCCACCCGUUUUUUGGCCAUUUUUCCGCUGGGGGGUUUUGGCACCACGACCUUCGGGCACUUAUUUUUGGGGGCGGCUUUGCCCGCGGCUUAUUUUUGGAACCGCGAGGCCCCUCGCAAAGUCUCGCCGCAUUCCGAGUCCGGCGGACCAACUUCGCCCGCGCCCCCCACCAAGGCUAUAGCCCACCCGUUUUUUGGCCAUUUUUCCGCUGGGGGGUUUUGGCACCACGACCUUCGGGCGCUUAUUUUUGGGCGCGGCUUUGCCCGCGGCUUAUUUUUGCACCGCGAGGUCCCUCGCAAAGUCUCGCCGCAUUCUGAGUCCGGCGGACGAACUUCGCCCGCGCCCCCCACCAAGGCUAUAGCCCACCCGUUUUUUGGCCAUUUUUCCGUUGGGGGGUUUUGGCACCACGACCUUCGGGCGCUUAUUUUUGGGCGCGGCUUUGCCCGCGGCUUAUUUUUGGCACCGCGAGGACCCUCGCAAAGUCUCGCCGCAUUCCGAGUCCGGCGGACGAACUUCGCCCGCGCCCCCCACCAAGGCUAUAGCCCACCCGUUUUUUGGCCAUUUUUCCGUUGGGGGGUUUUGGCACCACGACCUUCGGGUGCUUAUUUUUGGGCGUGGCUUUGCCGGCGGCUUAUUUUUGGCACCCCGAGGCCCCUCGCAAAGUCUCGCCGCAUUCCGAGUCCGGCGGACGAACUUCGCCCGCGCCCCCCACCAAGGCUAUAGCCCACCCGUUUUUUGGCCAUUUUUCCGAUGGGGGGUUUUUGCACCACGACCUUCGGGCGCUUAUUUUUGGGCGCGGCUUUGCCCGCGGCUUAUUUUUGGUACCCCGAG
rnacentral:lncRNA from 1 species